AAACUAAAUCCUUUUAAAAAGGAAAUCGUUGACACCAAAAAAAAAAAAAAAAUCGUUUCAAAAUAAAAACUUUGCGGAGAAACCAGGGAACAUACCAUCGGUUUGUUGUACUAAAUCUAAGAAGAGAUUUUACACAAAUUCUUAGAUGUGUUCCAAUCCACCAAGAUUUUAAUAAAAUUGAGAAAGCAAAACAAUAUUCGUUGUGGAUGAUAACAGAGAUUUUACAAAAAUCUUAGAGAAUCUCCAUCAUCAAUAAAGCAUCUCUAAGCUUCUGGAUAUUUUUUACAGGUUGAUGCAAAUAAACCUUUUCCUUGAGGAUCGUUCGAGCAAAUCUCUUUUACUUCAAAUUCUUCAGGGCUGCUGGGAAUUGUUAUAGGAGAUAGCGUAACUAUUUGCAAAUCCAAUUGCAAGGAUGUGGUAUUUUGACAGUUGGGGUUUCCGCAAUUGAAGAUCCAAUAUUGUGGAGAAGAGUUAGAAAGAAUCACAAUCAAUGAAUCUAAAAAUUCAGGUCUCUCUGUUUUCUGUUGAUGUUGGUGUUACUAAAUCUAAGAAGUAAGAAUUUGUAUCGGGUGCAGUCGGUUUAUAGUCAUUUGUUAUUAAGUUCUCCAUUUAUUUUCCUUCUAUUGGUUAGUUCACUAUUUUCUACAACUCUAAUUUACACCUAAAAUGUCCUAUUUAAUUAGCCAUGCAUGAGAGAUUUAUAUAUAUAUGCUACUUGCAGGACUAUUGAUGUCUUUUUCUUUUCUUUUUUUUUGAUCGGUAAAGUGCAGGACUAUUGAUGUUGCUGCACACUUACAUACAAUGAUAAUGGAACUGUGGAAAACUGUAAAGAUCUAGAGAUAUUUGAAUAUAAGGACGUCACUGUAAAAGACAGUGUCAAGAACCAUGGAUAGUGGUAUUGAAGACUUGGAAUUGGACGAUUACACAGCAACGGAACCACCAAUGAUAGAUGUCGGGUACAUUUUAAAAUGUUAUUGUUCUCCGCUUAGGAAUGCUGGAUCUGCACUAGACCAUUCACCAUUUUUCGGUAGUGGCAAAGUCGUGAUAGAUGCAAAAUACCGAGAUAUUUGAGGACAGGUAUGCUCUUCUUCGUCAAUUUGGCUUGAAUCCCAGGUUGGACUGUAAUCUUAUUGAUUUCCCAUCUCUAUUAAAAACCAUGGAUAGUGGUUUAAUUAACACCAUAACCAAGUCUUAACUAACUCUUUUUGAUGAGAGUGUACUGACUAAUAGAUACAAUAUAUAGCUCAUUGGAUUAGCCUAUUUUAGUGUAAUUUAAUUGAGAGUGUACUGACUGGAUAAUACAUUGGAAUCAUGUGCAUGUUAUUAAUUAGAAAUUGUUUUUUCACUUCUUCAUUUUCUUGGUCUUAGUUUUGUUUCCUUAGUUAUCAGAUUGCAGUUUGAGUUAAUCAACCAUUGGCGCUAACAGAUUCAACUGAAAAAAUCAAGUGAGGUGCUUGACAUAAAAGAAAGAGAGUGAAUGACUGGAGCUGGCAUUCCUUCUUCUUACGAUCUUCAAUCGACUGUUUGUGGUUCUGUUGUGUUCGCCUAAUCCAAUUCCUUACAUAUCUACUUAUUCUUAUCAAUGGAUAUUUGAAUUUGUCGACUAUAUAUUGGCACAGUAAGUGUUAUUUAAACUAUAAUUUAUGUUAAUUCGAAUAAUUACUUUGUGGUCUUAGAGUGAAUUUGCAGAUAUUAUGAUGAGUAAUCCACUGCAAAUACAUUUUCUUAUUGUUAGAAGUCAGUUGUGAAAAUUUUAAGUUUUGGAUAAUCUCAACAACUUUUAGUAUCUCAACUUGCAGACACCAAAAACAACUCUUUCACUCUGUGAGUCCUACAAAGUAGUAAAAGUAAUUGAAAAUAGUGUAUUAAUGACCAAAAAUAGCAAGAAGAGGAGAACAUAAUGGGCAUGGAGGUUUCAUACAAAAUUAGCCUCCACCUUUUGAUGCUAGAGAUGUUUUUGAUGCUCAUAACUUAGGAAUAGCAGUGGGUCAUAUGCUUAAAGAAACUUCAGUUCAUUGUCCCUUAGGUUACUUACUAAUCCUAUGUUCUAGACAAUGCAACUAAUGAUUUUCUUUGCGAAGCAACUGUUUUUUUUUUCAACAGAAAUUCUUUUGGGAUUGAAACAUGUACGUGAAGUUGAUAAAAGAGUGAUUUUUGUUGUCAAAUUGAAGGGAGAGAAUACCACUGCUGACUGAGAUGGUGAUGUAGACAAUAAAAGUGACAUAGUCUUUGCGUAGGAGGAGGUUCAAUGUGGACGACCUCCUACUGUUCUCUCUGACAAGUUGAUUGAAGUGCGGUAUCGAUAAAUUGGCCGUUGUUGGCAUCCAUGUGGUAAUUAUGUGGCUGUACGCAGUACGUAGUUGAUGCAGUAAAUAAUAUUUGUAUUCAGAGUUCUCAAAUUGGUUUAUCGCUGUUUGCGUUUAAGUGAAUAAAAUCUCGGUAACCUUUUUUUGUUGUGA